UCACUAUAGGGCAGCUUGCCUGCCGGCCUCUGCCUCACGGGCCCGGGAUCCGAUUAGAGUUUGAUCCUGGCUCACGAUGACGCUGGCGGCGUGCCUAACACAUGCUGGUCGAACGAAGCACUUCUCCCGUCGAAGUAGAUUAUCUUGCUGUGAAGCGGAGACAUUUGAAGUGACUUAUUGGCGGACGGGUGAGUAACGCGUGGGUAACCUGCCCUGUACUGGGGGACAACAGUUGGAAACGGCUGCUAAUACCGCAUAAGCGCACAGCAUCGCAUGGUGCAGUGUGAAAAACUCCGGUGGUACAGGAUGGACCCGCGUCUGAUUAGCUAGUUGGUGGGGUAACGGCCUACCAAGGCGGCGAUCAGUAUCCGGCCUGAGAGGGUGAACAGCCACAUUGGGACUGAGACACGGCCCACACUCCUACGGGAGGCAGCAGUGGGGGAAUAUUGCACAAUGGGGGAAACCCUAAUGCAGCGACGCCGCGUGAGUGAUGAAGUAUUUCUGUAUGUAAAGCUCUAUCAGCACGGAAGAAAAUGACGGCUACCUCACUAUAGGCAGCGGCUAUAUACGUGCCGGCCAGCCGCGCUAUACGUAUGGUGCAGCGUUAUCUGGAGUUACUGGGCGUAAAGAGUGCGUAGGCGUCUGCUA
rnacentral:rRNA from 1 species